rnacentral:lncRNA from 1 species
GGCCAAAUUGGAGCUCUUCCAGGACGACGUACCGAGCUAUUGCUCGAUGACGGAACACGAAUGCGUGGUUGUCGGAAUAGUACUUUUGCAGGCGAAUUGGUUGAGGUCGGACGUACACGGGUUGAGGCAUAGUCAACAGCAUGGCUUCCGCAUCUGCCUUUGAAUUAGGUCAGAGUAAUCGUCGUCGAAGCGGAGGGUUUGUUGCUAUCGUAGCUUGGACAUGGAAGUGUACUUUUGGUUUUAGUCUUUUGCUAUGUAGUAAGUGAGUUUACUUAUUUAAUUGUUG